CCUACCAUGCAAGUCGAGCGGAUGAAGAGAGCUUGCUCUCUGAUUUAGCGGCGGACGGGUGAGUAAUGCCUAGGAAUCUGCCUGGUAGUGGGGGAUAACGUUCCGAAAGGANCGCUAAUACCGCAUACGUCCUACGGGAGAAAGCAGGGGACCUUCGGGCCUUGCGCUAUCAGAUGAGCCUAGGUCGGAUUAGCUAGUUGGUGAGGUAAUGGCUCACCAAGGCGACGAUCCGUAACUGGUCUGAGAGGAUGAUCAGUCACACUGGAACUGAGACACGGUCCAGACUCCUACGGGAGGCAGCAGUGGGGAAUAUUGGACAAUGGGCGAAAGCCUGAUCCAGCCAUGCCGCGUGUGUGAAGAAGGUCUUCGGAUUGUAAAGCACUUUAAGUUGGGAGGAAGGGCAUUAACCUAAUACGUUAGUGUUUUGACGUUACCAACAGAAUAAGCACCGGCUAACUUCGUGCCAGCANCCGCGGUAAUACGAANGGUGCNAGCGUUAAUCGGAAUUACUGGGCGUAAAGCGCGCGUANGUGGUUCNUUAAAUUGGAUGUGAAAGCCCCNGGCUCNACCUGGGAACUGCAUCCUAAAUUGGNGAGNUANANUACGGNANANGGUNCNGGAAUUUCCUGUUUANNGNUGAAU
rnacentral:rRNA from 1 species